AUGCACGCUGGCGGCGUGCCUAAUACAUGCAAGUAGCACGCUGAAGGAAGGAGCUUGCUCUUUCCGGAUGAGUUGCGAACGGGUGAGUAACGCGUAGGUAACCUGCCUGGUAGCGGGGGAUAACUAUUGGAAACGAUAGCUAAUACCGCAUAACAGUAGAUGUUGCAUGAUAUCUACUUAAAAGGUGCAAUUGCACCACUACCAGAUGGACCUGCGUUGUAUUAGCUAGUUGGUGAGGUAACGGCUCACCAAGGCGACGAUACAUAGCCGACCUGAGAGGGUGAUCGGCCACACUGGGACUGAGACACGGCCCAGACUCCUACGGGAGGCAGCAGUAGGGAAUCUUCGGCAAUGGACGGAAGUCUGACCGAGCAACGCCGCGUGAGUGAAGAAGGUUUUCGGAUCGUAAAGCUCUGUUGUAAGAGAAGAACGAGUGUGAGAGUGGAAAGUUCACACUGUGACGGUAUCUUACCAGAAAGGGACGGCUAACUACGUG
rnacentral:rRNA from 1 species